rnacentral:rRNA from 1 species
CCUACGGGCGGCAGCAGUGAGGAAUAUUGGUCAAUGGACGAGAGUCUGAACCAGCCAAGUAGCGUGAAGGAUGACUGCCCUAUGGGUUGUAAACUUCUUUUAUAUGGGAAUAAAAUGUUCCACGUGUGGGAUUUUGUAUGUACCAUAUGAAUAAGGAUCGGCUAACUCCGUGCCAGCAGCCGCGGUAAUACGGAGGAUCCGAGCGUUAUCCGGAUUUAUUGGGUUUAAAGGGAGCGUAGGUGGAUUGUUAAGUCAGUUGUGAAAGUUUGCGGCUCAACCGUAAAAUUGCAGUUGAAACUGGCAGUCGUGAGUACAGUAGAGGUGUGCGGAAUUCGUGGUGUAGCGGUGAAAUGCUUAGAUAUCACGAAGAACUCCGAUUGCGAAGGCAGCUCACUGAACUGCAACUGACACUGAGGCUCGAAAGUGUGGGUAUCAAACAGGAUUAGAUACCCGAGUAGUC